UUCCAGGCGGCAGAGGCUCAAAAGCACCGGGAGGAGGCCCGGGAGAAGGCGGUGGGACGGCGGCGGAGCCUGGCGGGGCUGCAGAAGGACGCGCUGAGACGGCAACAGGAGUUCGAAAAUAAGGAAGUGGUGGGACCCCCCCUGGAAGCCUCGGAGGAAAACUCCCUGCGGCACUACGGGCGGGAGCUGCGCAAGGUUCUGGCAGCGUCCGAUGUGGUUUUGGAGGUGCUGGACGCUCGAGACCCCCAGGGAUGUCGCAGCCCCCGCUUGGAGGCCGCCGUGCGAGGGGCCGGGCACCGGCAGCGUUUGGUCUUAGUUCUCAAUAAA